rnacentral:tRNA from 1 species
ACACCAGUGACCCGAGUGGCAAAGGGAGCUGACUCUUAAUCAGCCGGCGAAAGCCUCCGCGAGUUCGAGUCUCGCCUGGUGUGCCA